ACAGUACAAUGGACAGUACGCUGGACUUCUAAUCCAAAGAUCGUGGAUUCAAAUUCUACCUGGGAUG